UGUGCCAGGCUGUCUGCCUGCCUCACUGCUCCCCUGCUGCUUCUCUUGCUUCUAAUUCCUCUUCUUUCUCUUACAAAUCUAACCCUGAUGGUGGAGGGGGCGGUGGUAAUUUACCACCUUGUAAUCCUCUAAACGAGCCCAAUUCCGCUCUCGGAGUCGGACCUGGAGCCAGAAAUGGGGGAGCUCCGGAGGAAGGGAUCGGAGCCAGAGUGAAAAUCGGCGCUUUGGAGAGCACAGGAAACUCCCAGAGGGGGUGGCCUCGACCCCCGCAACCAAUCGAAGCUCUUCCUCUCUCUCGACCUACUGUUCAGGACUUGACCUCUGUCCCACCACCGAAAUCCUAUGAAUGCCUGGUUCCGGUGUGGUUCCAGUCCCAACAGUUGAGCCUGGGCUUCUCCCACCGAGUCUUCUGUGUAUACCGAGCACCCCCACGGUGUCCGUGCUUAUGGUAAUGACUGUUUAGGGAGCUCUGGAAAGGCCCCAUGACCCCAAAUCAAGGCAAGUGUUUAUAGUUGCAAGUCUUUGUUUUUUAUUAAGUCGUUAUUUUUAUGAAAUUAAACU